CUCCAGACUCCUACGGGAGGCAGCAGUGGGGGAUAUUGCACAAUGGGGGAAACCCUGAUGCAGCGACGCCGCGUGUGGGAAGACGGUCCUCUGGAUUGUAAACCACUGUCCCCAGGGACGAAGAUGACGGUACCUGACUAAGAAGCCCCGGCUAACUACGUGCCAGCAGCCGCGGUAAUACGUAGGGGGCAAGCGUUAUCCGGAUUUACUGGGUGUAAAGGGAGCGUAGACGGUUAUGCAAGUCUGAAGUGAAAGCCCAAGGCUCAACCAUGGGACUGCUUUGGAAACUGUAAAACUGGAGUGCAGGAGAGGUAAGCGGAAUUCCUAGUGUAGCGGUGAAAUGCGUAGAUAUUAGGAGGAACACCAGUGGCGAAGGCGGCCUGCUGGACGAUGACUGACGUUGAGGCUCGAAAGCGUGGGGAGCAAACAGGAUUAGAUACCCUGGUA
rnacentral:rRNA from 1 species